CUUCACUUUGCUCAAUUUUAGUCUCCUUUUACAAAAGAAAAGCUUAAUGUGAAGACCACAGUUGCUUGUGAAAGCCGUGGAUGAAAUGUCUCUUUGGAAGUGAUAUGGCAACUUCAUCGUCUGAACAGAAGAGGGUAAUCCUGUGGGCAGUGCCAAGAAGUUGUUCCACUGUCCUCGCAAAAUGUAUAUACAACAAAGAUAAUGUCAAGAAUAGCAACCCUCCAGAAUAGCAAACCUGUUGGAAUAGGGAACCCUAGAUUUCAGAAGUCAGCGUACACUCAUUGGACAAUUUUAUCCAGUGAUGUCAGUUAACCAAACACUUAUUAAAGUCUCUCUGUAGUCUUCUCGUAUUUUGACAAUUUACAAUGAUGUCUAUCAAGACAAUCUCCAUAGUAGAAAUGCAAUAGUAUGAAAACGUGUUGAAUAGUUGGUGAGUGAUGUUUACCCUAUUUAAAAUACACAUUGUCACUUAUACCACCCAGUAGUGGGGAUGAAAAAUCGCCACUGACUUCUUUCAAUUAAAUAAUAUACACCAUUUGUUAUCCACAAAAUUGUAAUUAAGUAAGAUAACCCUUUAAUUUAAAAAUACAUAUGAAGCUUCUUCUAGAAAGGAAUUUCAAGCCAUUUUACUUUGGAGAAGAAAGACUUAGCAACAGAUAUUCUGAUGGAGUUGACACAUCCAAUUUUUCAUCCACCACUGGGAACUUCAAAAAGAGUAAAGCUGAGUAUGAGGAGGACUACCCAGGUA